rnacentral:misc_RNA from 1 species
AGGUUAAGACGAGAAAAACUAGAACAGGAGAGGAGACUCAAAGAACUGGAGAAAAAGUUAGCCAAGGAGAAAGCCAACAACAAGAGGAAAAACAAACCUAGGAGACCAGGAAAUUCAAAGCGAAGGAACAACCGAAGGAACAACCGAAGGAGAAGGCCUUCUUUCAACCGGCCGAAUACUCGACGCAACUUGGGUGUAGCCAAGGAAGCCCCGGUGAACAGGCCGCCACCUCAGGAAAACAGUAAUAAACGUCCUGGGUUACUACGUCGUCUGAUUAACAAGGGGAGGAACAACAUGAACAGGUUCAUGGACAAUAUUAAAAACAAGACUCCAAGAAGAAGAGGUAUAAUCUUUGUUGGAUGACGCAAUUAUUAAUAAUUAUGAAGUUUUUUUGCGUAACGAUAUUCGAUUUCUAUGUAGAUGUUUUGUUGGUUUUUUUUCUAUAUUGUCUUAGAGAAGACUUCCGUAAGUGCAGCUGAAUUUUACCAUAUGACAUAUGACGCUAGUUUAUUUUGAUGUAUUUUUUCUUUUUUUUUUUCUGUUGUUGAUAUGGGAUGCGUGCAUUUGAUUUUAUCUAACUACAGUAACUUCUUAUCUAAUAAAAAGAAG